rnacentral:rRNA from 1 species
GGAGUUUGGUCCGUGUCUCAGUACCAAUGUGGGGGACCUUCCUCUCAGAACCCCUACUGAUCGUUGCCCCGGUGGGCCGUUACCCCGCCGGCAAGCUAAUCAGACGCAUCCCCAUCCCUUACCGAUGAAUCUUUGCUCCUCGUUAGAUGCCUGCUAAGGAGAACAUAGAGUAUUAAUCCGACUUUCGCCGGGCUAUCCUCUAGUAAGGGGAAGGUUGGAUACGCGUUACUCACCCGUGCGCCGGUCGUCAGCAAGAAAAGCAAGCUUCUCUCCUGUUACCCCUCGACUUGCAUGUGUUAAGCCUGUAGCUAGCGUUCAUC